rnacentral:rRNA from 1 species
UACGAAGGGGGCUAGCGUUGCUCGGAAUCACUGGGCGUAAAGCGCACGUAGGCGGCUUGUUAAGUCCGGGGUGAAAUCCUGGAGCUCAACUCCAGAACUGCCUUUGAUACUGGCGAGCUUGAGUCCGGGAGAGGUGAGUGGAACUGCGAGUGUAGAGGUGAAAUUCGUAGAUAUUCGCAAGAACACCAGUGGCGAAGGCGGCUCACUGGCCCGGUACUGACGCUGAGGUGCGAAAGCGUGGGGAGCAAACAGG